rnacentral:rRNA from 1 species
CACGGCCCAGACUCCUACGGGAGGCAGCAGUGGGGAAUUUUGGACAAUGGGCGCAAGCCUGAUCCAGCCAUGCCGCGUGUCUGAAGAAGGCCUUCGGGUUGUAAAGGACUUUUGUCCGGGAGCAAAUGCCUGGUGUUAAUAGCACUGGGAGCUGAGAGUACCGGAAGAAUAAGCACCGGCUAACUACGUGCCAGCAGCCGCGGUAAUA